GGAUGUGUGGUCAGUCGGUGCUGUCUGUCUCCUUCUUGGUGACCAGGAUUAAUUCGGACCAUCUGGCAAACCGGACAAGGGGCUCUUUCACCCUCACUGUUUCAUCCCUUCCAAAGCUUUGUGUUCAGUUGAGAGAAUGACCUUUCCAGAGAGCUGGAGGAUUAUCGUUAGGUCCAGAAUAUUCUGAAGAGUAGAAAGACAUUUUUAAAAUCAUCCAUAAUUUUAUGACUCAUAUUU
rnacentral:sRNA from 1 species